UUAAAUUGAGAGUUUGAUCCUGGCUCAGGAUGAACGCUGGCGGCGUGCCUAAUACAUGCAAGUCGAACGAAACUUCUUUAUCACCGAGUGCUUGCACUCACCGAUAAAGAGUUGAGUGGCGAACGGGUGAGUAACACGUGGGCAACCUGCCCAAAAGAGGGGGAUAACACUUGGAAACAGGUGCUAAUACCGCAUAACCAUAGUUACCGCAUGGUAACUAUGUAAAAGGUGGCUAUGCUACCGCUUUUGGAUGGGCCCGCGGCGCAUUAGCUAGUUGGUGAGGUAAAGGCUUACCAAGGCAAUGAUGCGUAGCCGAACUGAGAGGUUGAUCGGCCACAUUGGGACUGAGACACGGCCCAAACUCCUACGGGAGGCAGCAGUAGGGAAUCUUCCACAAUGGGCGAAAGCCUGAUGGAGCAACGCCGCGUGGGUGAAGAAGGUCUUCGGAUCGUAAAACCCUGUUGUUAGAGAAGAAAGUGCGUGAGAGUAACUGUUCACGUUUCGACGGUAUCUAACCAGAAAGCCACGGCUAACUACGUGCCAGCAGCCGCGGUAAUACGUAGGUGGCAAGCGUUAUCCGGAUUUAUUGGGCGUAAAGGGAACGCAGGCGGUCUUUUAAGUCUGAUGUGAAAGCCUUCGGCUUAACCGGAGUAGUGCAUUGGAAACUGGGAGACUUGAGUGCAGAAGAGGAGAGUGGAACUCCAUGUGUAGCGGUGAAAUGCGUAGAUAUAUGGAAGAACACCAGUGGCGAAAGCGGCUCUCUGGUCUGUAACUGACGCUGAGGUUCGAAAGCGUGGG
rnacentral:rRNA from 1 species